UGCAGGCCAAGCAGGGCUACUUCUUGAUCUUCUUAUCGUUCCGACCCCUCUUCCUCUCCUCCCGCCUCUCCUCCGAGUAGUUCUUCUUCACCAGCAUCUUGUCCAUCGAGACUCUGAGGGCGGUGAGCACCGCGGCCAGCACCUCCUCCUUCUUUGAUGCGUCAAGGCUUCUCUGCAGCGCCAGCAGAAGUUUCUCUCCAUGUGGUACUUCGCUGUCCUCCAGGAUUGCGGGUCGGCUGAGGCUGAUAGAUCCUUCUGGAACCGGGGGAUGAUUCUGACACGGGUUAAUAAGUGGGAUGAUGCCUGGUUUGGCAUGUUUGAUGCGCCCAUGACGGAGGCCCUCCGUGGGGGUGGUGCUGGCGCUGAUCUGGCAGUGCGGCGACGGCCGAAAAAACGAAACAGCCUCGUGGUUGUGCGCCCCCUUGCGGCCGGUGCUCCACCACACCAUGGCUGCCGGCGGCCGGCGAGCUCGAGGAAGGGAGGGGAGAAGUAGGGUUUGCGGUCGAGUUUCGAUGAGGCAGCAGGACUGGAGUGGGAGCGUGGACUAUGACCGGUCCACGACUUCCCAUUUAAAAAGAACAGCGAGCACUCGCCUGAACGGAUGACAGGUGGGGCCGAUCAUGUGUGCACAGUUAAUUUAGGUGGUGGGAGGUAGGUGGCCAUCUGCCACGCGGCACCGAUGCGGACGAGAGGCGUGUCCAUUCGCUGUCCGCCUGGACCCAAACCGGGCGCAUAUUUGCGCUGGAAAUGGGUCGGGCCGGACACAAAACAGACAAGAUGGGUUUAGGCCGUCGCGCGCUGGGCCGUGGGGUUUGUUCUUUUUGCCCCAAACGGACAUGGCCGAACGGGAUGAGGCCGUGCUCUGUAGUUGGCCUUGGAGUAAAUUUAGUAGUGACCAAUUGUCAUAACAACUGCCAAUACGAUCUUUGUCACGUACGUUGAGGCGACAGAUGAUCAUUGCACGAAACGUUUCACGUCGCGAGGUGAACCUUGUUCUCGCCGCCAUCAUAUCGGUGGGCAUGUCACGAUAUAGGGACGACGUUACGGGACACAGGGAAUCCUCCAGGGCAACUCUAACAGAAUCAUCAUAUUGAACAAAUCAUCGUAAUAACUUCUAAUACGAUCGUUGUCACUAGACCUGGCCAUUGGCAGGCCGGCCCAGCCCGACCUUGUCCACAGGCCGGGCUCGGGCCUAGAUUUCAAGCCCGAUGGCCGGGCUGGGCCUAGGCCCGUCGUAUUCACACGUUAACGAAGAGGCCCGGCGGGUUUUUAGCGUGAUGGGCUAGGCUCGGGCCUGAUUUUUGAGCCCGACGGUGUGGUCGGACUUGGGCCUGGGUUUUUUUCAUCGGGUUUUGAUAGGCUCGGCCCGACAGAUGGCCAGGUAUAGUUGUCACAUACGCCGAGGGGAUACAUGAUCAUUGCACGGAAGCGCUUCGGGUCACGAGGCGAGCCUUGUCCUCGCCGCCGUCGUAUCGGAGGUCAUAUCACGGCAAAUGGACGAUGGUGGGGGGAGAUGGAGCGCUCUCGCUCACGACCUCCCAACCGGCCGUCAGUCGAGAUCACGACGACAAAUUAGCAGUCAGGGAGGGAGCGCAGUUCGUUCAGGCUCCCGGCAAUUCGAUGCGUUCCCAGGACGAACUCGUUUGAUUACAGAGGGAGUAUACAGUAAUUAUUGCACGAUGAUGAUGAUGAUACUUGCGGUUUUCUUGGACCGGCGACUUGGAUCGGAUUGAAUCCAAUCCAGUUUUGUAAUGACAAGCUGACAUUUUCAAGUCGCGGCUCUCACAAGUCACGACAGUUAGGAACUGCAGAUUGACAGACAUCAUGAAGCGCGCAGUCAGCAGCCGUCAUGAGGUCACUAGAAAAUGGUUGCCAAACCUACCCGUACAGUUUUGUCAAUGCAUUUCUGCCGCCGGUGCUUACGGGCCAGCCACUACGAGUACUGGAGAGAGGGACCAGCCCAGCCGGCGAUAUAAAUCAGACGCAACACUCAAGAUGUCGAUUAAAUAAAAGGCGCAACCAUGCGCUUUGGGUUCAUGAUUGCAAGAACUGUUGCAAUGAAAUGAAGAAUAAAUUCCCGGGGUCCCUGAUUACUACCUCCGUUUUAGUUUACAAGUCCUACGCGUAUACCUAGGUUACCAAUUUUAUCACCCUAAUAUAAACUAUAUAAUACAAAAAUUAUACCUUUUGAAAGUAGAAACUCCGAAGUUUAUGUUGGUAUAUUUUUUGUAAUAUAUGACUUGUAUUAGGUUGGUCAAAUUGACGACCUAGGGGUACGCGCACGCCCUCUAAACUGAGAGAGAGGUAGUAGCACCUUUCGUCUGGUCCUGGGCAACAAGUUCUGAACCCCCAAUUUUUUUUUCUGAACUCCCUGAACCCUGAUGUACUUGAUGAAGACAAACAGGCGAUCACCGGAAAAUAUUCUUCUCUGUUUGAGAGCAAGACACGGCAUGUGCGGCAGCCCGCUCGCUCGUCCCAGCUCUUCGCAGAAACGCCAACAGGCAGGCGCGUCACGUUGAGAAGAUCAUUGAACGGAAGCUCUUGCGAAAGCGAAAAGGGCCACGAAGAACGUUGUCAUCACCGCCAUCAUGUCGGAGAUCAUGUCACGGCAAAGGGACGACGGCCAGGGCCGGGCGUCCUCCCAUGCCAUCAGUCGACUAGAUGGCGACGGCGAUGCAAUCAGUGAGGACGCAGUUAUUAGAGUUGCAGCAUUUCUCCAAGAACGAACUCUUCUGACACUUGGUAAUUAUCACACGAUUGCUAUCUUGGAGCAGCGAUAGAUUAAACCCAAUUCACACCACUUGGUGUAGGACCAACUCCAAUUUCGUGUAAGACAGAAUUAUCAUUCGAAGCCACAGCUCACAAAUCACAAAAAAAGAAACAAAAAAAAAUUGUGGCAUUUCGACUGAAGCCGCUAUAGCAUAAGCAGUCUCCAUGCCAUGGGUCACAAGAAAAUGGUUGCUGAACCUACUUGUGCAUUCCUUCCUUGUGCUCUGAGCUUUUCAUGGUACAACAUAGAGGACCUCUAAUUUGACGGUGUUUUGCAGGCCGAGCAGAGCUACUUCUUGAUCUUCUUAUCAUUCCGGCCCCUCUUCCGCUGCUCCCGCCUCUCCUCCGAGUAGUUCUUCUUCACCAGCAUCUUGUGCAUCGACACUCUGAGGGCGGCGAGCACCGCGGCCAGCACCUCCUCCUGCUUUGAGGCGUCAAGGCUUCCCUGCAGCGCCAACAGAAGCUUCUCGCCAUGUGGUACUUCGCUGUCCUCCAGGACCGCAGGGUCGUGGUCAGCCGAGGCUGAUAGAUCUUUUUGGAACCGGGGGAUGAUUCUGACACGGGUUAAUAACUGGGAGGCGGCCUGGUUAGGCAUGUUUGAUGCGCCCAUGACGGUCCACAGGAGAUCA
rnacentral:lncRNA from 1 species